UUGGAGGGCAAGUCUGGUGCCAGCAGCCGCGGUAAUUCCAGCUCCAAUAGCGUAUAUUAAAGUUGUUGCAGUUAAAAAGCUCGUAGUUGAACUUCGGGAUUUGCCCAUUGGUCAGGCUUAACUGUCUGCACUGGUGUGACGAGUUCCUACCUUCUGAGGAAUCUCCAUGUCAUUCAGUUGGUGUGGGGGGAAAUCAGGACUGUUACUUUGAAAAAAUUAGAGUGUUUAAAGCAGGCUCACGCUUGAAUACAUUAGCAUGGAAUAACGGAAUAGGACGUUUGAUUCUAUUUUGUUGGUUUCUAGGAUCGACGUAAUGAUUAAUAGGGAUAGUUGGGGGCAUUAGUAUUCAAUUGUCAGAGGUGAAAUUCUUGGAUUUAUUGAAGACUAACUACUGCGAAAGCAUUUGCCAAGGAUGUUUUCAUUAAUCAAGAACGAAAGUUAGGGGAUCGAAGACGAUCAGAUACCGUCGUAGUCUUAACCAUAAACUAUGCCGACUAGGGAUCGGAUGAUGUUAAUUUUUUAAUGACUCAUUCGGCGCCUUACGGGAAAC
rnacentral:rRNA from 1 species